rnacentral:ncRNA from 1 species
UGAUAGAGGCGCAGCCGUCAUCAGUACCCGCGCAAAACCGGCAGGAACCGGGCGGGGAAAGGGGCGUUUGCCGAAGGACGCGGUGAUAUUCCUGCAUGCCGCGGCCCUGGGCCGUCGGAGAACAUCCGCCGGACUGUCGCGUUUUACGCGGAGCGCUGUC